AGAAUUUGCAAGAAUGAGUGAUAAUCGUAUGUGGAUGUACGCGAGAUACAAUGAUCGUACUGCAUUUGAAACGGGGCUUGAGUUUUUCCUUGAGUGGGCGUUCAAUCAAACGGCGUACACAGAUGGACAAGGUAACAUUAGGUGCCCGUGUAAGAAGUGCAAGAAUCAAGCGUAUUUAGAUGUACCUACGGUCAGAAAACAUGUUAGUAGGCGUGGAUUUGUCCUGAAUUACAAAGUUUGG
rnacentral:lncRNA from 1 species